UACUUGGUUGAUCCUACUAAUAGUCAUAUGCUUGUCUCAUAUAUUAAGCCAUGCAUGUCUAAGUAUGAACUAAUUCAGACUAUGAAAUUGUGGACGGAUUAUUAAAUAAAUUAUAGUUCUUUUAUGGUACCUUACUAUACUUGGAUAACCAUACUAAUUCUAGAGGUAAUAUGUGCACCAAGUCCCGAAUCUUCAGAAAGGAUGCAUUUAUUAGAUAAAAAUCCGUUGUCGGAUGGCUCGCUUCUUUGGUGAAUCACGAUAACUCAAUGGAUUGCAUGGACCCUAUGAUAUUAAUGCUUCAUUUAAAUUUCUUCCCUAUCAAAUUUCAAUGGUAGGAUAUAUGCCUACCAUGGUGGUGAUGGGUGAUGGACACUCUAUGGUUCAAUUUAGAAGAGGGAUCCUAAGAAACAACUACCACAUCUAAGGAAUCAAUAGGUGCACAAAUUACCCAAUCUUGACAUGUUGAGGAAGUGACAAUAAAUAAAAAUAUUGGGCUCAUUAAUCAAACAUGAAAGUUUGGGUCUCAAAGAUAAUAAGAUACUAUCCUAGUCUCAACCAUUAGUGAUGUUGACUAGUGAUUGAUGAAUGUUUCUCUAAGGAAUCCACCAACAUCUUUUGAGAAAUUAGGGUGGUUGGGUUUCGGAGGGAGUAUGGUUGCAAGGAUAAAACUAAAGGAAUUUAUGGAAAGGAACCACAAAAAGUGAAGCUUGUAGCUUAAUUUGACUCAACAUGGGAAAAUUUAUCAAGUCCAAAAAUACUAAGGAUUAACACAUUGAGAGUUGUUU
rnacentral:ncRNA from 1 species